AGAGCCCUUUCAUUUUUCAUUGACCGCCAAAUAACUCCAGCCAAAACUCAAAUUUCCCCCUUCUUCACCAGCAAAAGUGAAAAAUGGGCAAUUUCAGAAACCUAGCAGCCGCCUCCAACACUCACUCUCCCUAUGCGUCUCUCUCUCAUCCCCCUCUCUCACUAAGUCAUUGUCUCUCCCUCUGCGUCUCUCUCUCUCAUCUCAUCCAUCUUCGUUUGCCUCUGACCGUCUCUGUCUCUCUCUCACGAUCUCACCCUCUCCGUCUCUCUCCCGAUCUCACCCUCUCCGUCUCUCUCGCGAUCUCACCCUCUCUGUCUCUCUCCCGAUCUCACCGUCUCUGUCUCUCUGUCCUCUGUCUCAAUUAGUUAGAUUUCAGUUCUCUUUUUCAUGUCUCUGUUUUUUUACUUAUUUGUCAAUUGUGCAUUUUACUUGCGGUGAUUUGGUUGUGCAGGUUCUGUCAUGAAGCAUCAACUAUGAUGAGGGACAUACCAAGCCUAUCCUUUCUGUGUGCUGGGAUCCAUCUGGUGAGUUCCUUGCAUCAGUCAAAUUAUACAUGGUCACCCUAUAAGGUUAGAGCAUACUUACAGCGUCAAUGGAAGCAGAUUCUAUCUGGAAGGGUGUCUCUUCAGGAUUUUGUAUCUGCAAAGGAGGUUCGCCUAGGCACCUACUAACUAGCUCUGUUCUUGUUUUGGCAGGAUAAACAAACAAUGUUAUUGUUAAUGGGAAAUAGCAGCAGCCCAUCAUUAGCGAAGAUUCAAAGGAAGCUAUGAAGCAUGCAUUCGAACUCUUUAAUGUUCGAUUGGAAGUAGACUUUGGGACUAGUGAUAUAGGACAUAGCUUAGGAUUGUAAUGAAUAUUUGUAAUUUAUUACAUUUGUCUUUUAUUAAUGAUGAUAUAUACUAUUCUUCGAACAACAAUUUUUCAAUUGAAAUAUUAUUUAGAUUUUUUGACAAAA